GAUGAACGCUGGCGGCGUGCCUAAUACAUGCAAGUCGAGCGAAGCGGGGACGGGUGAGUAACACGUGGAUAACCUACUAUAAGACUGGGAUAACUUCGGGAAACCGGAGCUAAACCGGAUACUUAUAGAUGGAUACGCGCUGCAUUAGCUAGUUGGUAAGGUAACGGCUGACCAAGGCAACGAUGCAUAGCCGACCUGAGAGGGUGAUCAGCCAAACUGGAACUGAGACACGGCCCAGACUCCUACGGGAGGCAGCAGUGGGGAAUUUUGCACAAUGGGCGCAAGCCUGAUGCAGCCAUGCCGCGUGUAUGAAGAAGGCCUUCGGGUUGUAAAGUACUUUCGGCGAGGAGGCGGUACUCGAAGAAGAAGCACCGGCUAACUACGUGCCAGCAGCCGCGGUAAUAC
rnacentral:rRNA from 1 species